rnacentral:rRNA from 1 species
UCUAGAGAGACUGCCAGGGAUAACCUGGAGGAAGGUGGGGAUGACGUCAAAUCAUCAUGCCCCUUAUGCUUAGGGCUACACACGUGCUACAAUGGGUAGUACAGAGGGUUGCCAAGCCGUAAGGCGGAGCUAAUCCCUUAAAGCUACUCUCAGUUCGGAUUGUAGGCUGAAACUCGCCUACAUGAAGCUGGAGUUACUAGUAAUCGCAGAUCAGAAUGCUGCGGUGAAUGCGUUCCCGGGUCUUGUACACACCGCCCGUCACACCACGGGAGCUGGAGACGCCCGAAGCCGAUUAUCUAACCUUUUGGAAGAAGUCGUCGAAGGUGGAAUCAAUAACUGGGGUGAAGUCGUAACAAGGUAGCCGUAUCGGAAGGUGCGGCUGGAUCACCUCCUUUCUAAGGA